rnacentral:rRNA from 1 species
CCUACGGGUGGCAGCAGUGGGGAAUAUUGGGCAAUGGGCGCAAGCCUGACCCAGCAACGCCGCGUGAAGGAAGAAGGCUUUCGGGUUGUAAACUUCUUUUCUGAGGGACGAAGAAAGUGACGGUACCUCAGGAAUAAGCCACGGCUAACUACGUGCCAGCAGCCGCGGUAAUACGUAGGUGGCAAGCGUUAUCCGGAUUUAUUGGGUGUAAGGGGCGUGUAGGCGGGAAAGCAAGUCAGAUGUGAAAACUCAGGGCUCAACCCUGAGCCUGCAUUUGAAACUGUUUUUCUUGAGUGCUGGGGAGGAAAUCGGAAUGCGGGGUGUAGCGGUGAAAUGCGUAGAUAUACGGCGGAACACCAGUUGCGAAGGCGGAUUGCUGGACAGUAACUGACGCUGAGGCGCGAAAGCGUGGGGAGCAAACAGGAUUAGAUACCCUGGUAGUC